AUUAGGGUGCCUGAAAAAAAAGGAUUAUCUUGAUGUGAUGAAAAAUGUGCUCCCCACCCCUAAU
rnacentral:tRNA from 1 species